rnacentral:miRNA from 1 species
AUAGGAAUCACCUGGGGAUCUUGUUAGACUUCAGAUUCUGAUGAGAGUGGGAGUAAAGGAUGAGGUUCUGCACUUCUAAAAUGUUCCAAGUGAUGCUGCU